AUACGGAGGAUCCGAGCGUUAUCCGGAUUUAUUGGGUUUAAAGGGUGCGCAGGCGGGAGAUUAAGUCGGCGGUGAAAUUUUGCAGCUCAACUGUAAAAGGGCCUUCGAAACUGGUUUUCUUGAGUGUAGAUGGAGUAGGGGGAAUUUGUGGUGUAGCGGUGAAAUGCAUAGAUAUCACGAGGAACUCCGAUUGCGCAGGCAGCUUACUAAACUACUACUGGCGCUCAGGCACGAAGGCGUGGGGAUCAAACAGGAUUAGAUACCCUGGUAGUCCACGCAGUAAACGAUGAUUACUAGCUGUUUGCGAUACAAUGUAAGCGGCUGAGCGAAAGCGUUAAGUAAUCCACCUGGGGAGUACGUUCGCAAGAAUGAAACUCAAAUGAAUUGACGGGG
rnacentral:rRNA from 1 species